rnacentral:rRNA from 1 species
CGGGUAGUCCUAGCCGUAAACGAUACUCGCUAGGUGUCGGCCACGGUGCGACCGUUGUCGGUGCCGUAGGGAAGCCGUGAAGCGAGCCACCUGGGAAGUACGGCCGCAAGGCUGAAACUUAAAGGAAUUGGCGGGGGAGCACCACAACGGGUGGAGCUUGCGGUUUAAUUGGAUUCAACGCCGGAAAUCUUACCGGGACCGACAGCAAUAUGAAGGCCAGGCUGAAGACUUUGCCGGAUUAGCUGAGAGGUGGUGCAUCGC